rnacentral:rRNA from 1 species
CAAGUCGUGGGGCAGCGCGGGUAGCAAUACCUGGCGGCGACCGGCAAACGGGUGCGGAACACGUACGCAACCUUCCUUCAAGUGGGGAAUAGCCCAGGGAAACUUGGAUUAAUACCCCUUAACAUUAUGAGAUGGCAUCAUCUUAUAAUUAAAGCUACGGCGCUUGGAGAUGGGCGUGCGGCUGAUUAGGUAGUUGGCGGGGUAACGGCCCACCAAGCCUGCGAUCAGUAACUGGUGUGAGAGCACGACCAGUCACACGGGCACUGAGACACGGGCCCGACUCCUACGGGAGGCAGCAGUAAGGAAUAUUGGUCAAUGGACGCAAGUCUGAACCAGCCAUGCCGCGUGGAGGAUGAAGGUCCUCUGGAUUGUAAACUUCUUUUAUCUGAGAAGAAACCCAUCUUUUCUAAGGUGGUUGACGGUACCAGAUGAAUAAGCACCGGCUAACUCCGUGCCAGCAGCCGCGGUAAUACGGAGGGUGCAAGCGUUAUCCGGAUUCACUGGGUUUAAAGGGUGCGUAGGUGGGCAGGUAAGUCAGUGGUGAAAUCUCCGGGCUUAACCCGGAAACUGCCGUUGAUACUAUCUGUCUUGAAUAUCGUGGAGGUGGGCGGAAUAUGUCAUGUAGCGGUGAAAUGCUUAGAUAUGACAUAGAACACCAAUUGCGAAGGCAGCCCGCUACACGGUUAUUGACACUGAGGCACGAAAGCGUGGGGAUCAAACAGGAUUAGAUACCCUGGUAGUCCACGCCCUAAACGAUGGAUACUCGACAUAUGCGAUACACAGUAUGUGUCUGAGCGAAAGCAUUAAGUAUCCCACCUGGGAAGUACGACCGCAAGGUUGAAACUCAAAGGAAUUGACGGGGGUCCGCACAAGCGGUGGA